rnacentral:rRNA from 1 species
UAAAGAGGUGGCAAGCGUUGUUCGGAAUUACUGGGCGUAAAGGGCGCGUAGGCGGCCCGUCAAGUCCCGUGUGAAAGCCCCCGGCUCAACCGGGGAACUGCACGGGAAACUAGCAGGCUUGAGUUCGGGAGAGGGAAGCGGAAUUUCGGGUGUAGCGGUGAAAUGCGCAGAUAUCCGAAGGAACACCGGUGGCGAAGGCGGCUUCCUGGACCGACACUGACGCUGAGGCGCGAAAGCUAGGGGAGCAAACGGG